CGCCCCUGGAUGUCGAGGGGCUCUGGGAAGAAGGUGGAGGCCGUACCUGCAGGAGAAGAUGCCUGGGGACCUGGGAUCUUCGCUGGAGCCUGCAGGAUCCUGCUCAGGAUAACACUGCUCCCAAUAAGGAUGCUGGAGAACACGGCCAGUGCCAAUCCGAUGAUAAAGUCAUGGUUCACCUGCGUUGUGGAGGACCCACUGGCAUCAAGGGUCAGGUUCUGGUAAAUGGAGACCGACUGAUCAACUUCCCCUAAAAUCCGACAGACCACCCGGUGUGAAGAGCAGAUCCGUGUAUCCUGUGGACUCCUUCGGAUUCGGGGGACUACUUCGACGACCAGCGUUUUUCUUUGCUUGAUGUUAAUAAAAUAGUUAACGAGGGCUUGUGGGGGAGUGGGUUUUUUUUAUAAAUUUUUUUUUAAACCUGUUGUGUUUUUUUUUUUUUUUUUACUUG